AAUAGAGGCGCGGAUGUCAAAAGUAUCCUUCGGGAGCCGGCAGCGGGCGAAGAGCGAAGGAAAAAGGGGCAUCCGCCGAAAUGGGGUUCCGGGCUGGCCGGAACGCCGUUGGGCGAAAAGAAAACAUCUUUUCGACUGUCAUGGCGUUGGCACGCCAUGGAGCGCUAUUC
rnacentral:ncRNA from 1 species